rnacentral:rRNA from 1 species
CCUACGGGCGGCAGCAGUGGGGGAUAUUGCACAAUGGGGGGAACCCUGAUGCAGCGACGCCGCGUGGGUGAAGAAGCGCCUCGGCGCGUAAAGCCCUGUCAGCAGGGAAGAAAAUGACGGUACCUGACGAAGAAGCCCCGGCUAACUACGUGCCAGCAGCCGCGGUAAUACGGAGGGGGCACGCGUUAUCCGGAUUUACUGGGUGUAAAGGGGGCGCAGACGGCGAUGCAAGCCAGGAGUGAAAGCCCGGGGCCCAACCCCGGGACUGCUCUUGAAACUGCGUUGCUGGAGUGCAGGAGGGGCAGGCGGAAUUCCUGGUGUAGCGGUGAAAUGCGUAGAUAUCAGGAGGAACACCGGUGGCGAAGGCGGCCUGCUGGACUGCAACUGACGUUGAGGCCCGAAAGCGUGGGGAGCAAACAGGAUUAGAUACCCGAGUAGUC